UACGAAGUUCAAUUUGGAAUUUGAAAUCACAGGAAUAAGCAUAAAUUAGCAACAAUUUGUUUCGCUCAUUUCGCCUCGUUUCACCAUGAAAGAACAACAUCGGCGACACUGGCGACAUCUAGUAAUGAGUUUUGAAUCUUAAGUUGGUUGCACAGUCAGUCACAGACAGUGAGACAUGACAUUGCACGUCAUAACUUUCAUAAGUUACUUAAAAAGUUUAACAACGGAGAUCGGAUAACAACUUAACUGUUUUUAAGUAAUAGAUAAAACAAUCUUUAGCUAAUAAUUCUUACUGCAUUCUUGACUAAAUGUUUUCAGAUAAUUUUAGCUGAAGUUUUCAUGUACAUGGCCAACUAGGUGCUCGUGACAAUAGAAAUGAAAUGGUUUAAUCCAAUAAUGCGAGCUCACAACCUAUGUCUUCUGAAGAAAAGUCAUUUCUGUUGCAGAUUUUGCAUUUAGACUGAAUGAGAACCAUUUUGUUGCCCAUCCAAGGAUAACGAAAAGGCCAACACCACCAACACGUCAACAAGGUUCUUUGUUUGUUAACCCCCUGGUGAAAGAUUGUUGUGCAUCAAGUUAACCUGUGGCUGUUCCUUGUUGCUGGUGUCUUGCUACGGAAGUUACAGGCAGUAUUUUGUUCAAUUUGCAUUAUGUCUGUAGAUUUACAGCUAGUUUAAGUCUUAGCUUCAUCGAUCUUCUUCUUCAUUUCAGUCUAAUUCAUACAUUUAUUUUUUCAGCCAGUGUGUUGAAUUUGACGUGUACAAUUUUCUUAUUGGUAUAAUUAUGAUUAGGCUUAACUCUUGUAAAUAACAUUAAGUGACAUUUAUUUGUCUU